GUGAUGAAUUGUGCUCACAGUUUGCAUGUUCUCCCCGUGACUGCGUGGGUUCUCUCCGGGUACUCCGGCUUCCUCCCACCUCCAAAGACAUGCACCUGGGGAUAGGUUGAUUGGCAACACUAAAUUGGCCCUAGUGUUUGAAUGUGAGUGUGAAUGUUGUCUAUCUGUGUUGGCCCUGCGAUGAGGGGGUGACUUGUCCAGGGUGUACCCCGCCUUCCACCCGAUUGUAGCUGAGAUAGGCUCCAGCGCCCCCGCGACCCCAAAGGGAAUAAGCGGCAAAAAAUGGAUGGAUUGACCGGAAGUGGCUUUAUUUGGGGAUUUCCUGGACGAUACCGGAAGUGACUCUACAGAUACCACCAGCCAGGUAUCAUUGUACUUUUUAAUCUUCUUACAAACUUUGGCCACAGGUGUUCUAAUACAAUAUGCCCAAUGACACCAGUUGUGAUUCGAAAAUGGAGGUCAGCUGCUAGUUAGGCAAACACCGCCACCAACAGGACCACAGCCAGGGCGCGAGCCAUCUGAGUCUGGGCUUUCUGGCUGAGGUACAAACAGUCAGUGAAGAAGGAGUGGUCUGGGCGGCCAUCCUGUGAGGUUUCAACAGUGAGUGUAUAUGUACUGUACUUAUAUUCUACAUUUAAACAUGCAUGUAUCAUUACUGACCGGUAGUCUGGGAAUGGUGAAUUUUCUGAAAAAAGGCUGGAUGACCACAGUGAAGUCGGGGCGAGUGUCGUAACGUUUUGACUCGACAAGUUUCCUCAGUACCAGCUGUGAAACACGGGACAUUUGGUAACAUCUCUUAGUAGCUUCUAUUAACACAACGUAAACGUUUUGUACCUGAUAUUUCCUGUUUAGCUCCUCUUUCUCGUGCAAAGC